rnacentral:lncRNA from 1 species
AUGAUUUUUCUUCUAUUAUUCUUCUUAACCCAUUACUUCUCUAUCCCUUAUUUUAUUCUUCAGUCUGUUUUUUAUUCCUAUUCCAUUCUCAUUCUGUUCUAUUCUAUUUUCUCUCCUACUUUAUUUUAUUCUAAUCUCUUACUCUAUUUUCUAUUCUUAGUCUUGAUCUAUUUUUAUUCUUAUUCUCCUCUUAAUAUAUUCUAUUUCCUAUUCUUAUUCUUGAGCUUGUCUUGUUGUAGUCUAUAUUCAUUCUAUUCGAACUUUAAUUCUAUUCUGAUUUUAAUUUAUUAUUCUAUUCUAUUCUAUUCUAUUCUUUUUUCUCUUUUUUCUCUUUUUUCUAUCAUUUUUUCUCUCUUUUCUCUUUUUUCUUUUCUAUUCUUUUUUAUUUUUUCUCUUAUUUUUUUCUCUUUUUUCUCCUUUUUCUCUUAUUUUUUUAAUUCUUUUUCUCUUUUUUCCCUUAUUUUUUCUCUUCUUUUUUCUCUUUUUUUAACUCCUUUUUUCUCUUAUUUUUCUCUUUUUUCUCUCCUUUUUCUCUUUCCCAUAUCCUAUCCUAUCCUAUCCUAUCCCAUUUUAUUCCACUGUAUUUCCUGCCUCUGGCACAGCAGCCCAGGUGCAAUUUGGGGUCCCCCAGGGGUAUCUCCACAAAUCCAAUGGAAAACAUUCCAGGGAGAAGAGCUGGAGCUGGGAAAAAAACCCUCUAAAACCGCCCUGGAAGUGGGACAAAAACUGGAAAAAACCCCUCUAAAACCGCCCUGGAAGUGGGACAAAAACUGGAAAAGGAGCCUCACUUAAUCCAAUUAAUGCCAUAAAAAUCCGAAGUUGGGAUUACCUGGAAAAUUCUGAUUUUUAAAUGAAAAUGUGCCAAAAAAAGCAAAUAUUAAGGGAAUUAUUGCUGUGGUAAAAACCAGUCUGGGUGCUGGAGGGGCCAGGGUUGUUGGGUUUUAAAUCCAUCCCUGCUGGAUGCAGAAUUCCCAAGGUUUGUGGCUGGGAUUGAGGUACAAACACAAGCACCUGUCUGGAUUUAUUUAUUCUAGGAACUUCCUCGUGUUCAUAUUUCAUUUUUCUGGUGUGCUCAUUUUAUUUUAAUUAAUUAAUGAACAUCUGCAGCCGGCCCUUGCUUCUGCUCAUUAAAAAGAACUGUAAUUAAUGAGGAUUGAUUGAUUGAUCGAUUGCACAGCCGGUCUGUGUUCUCUCCUGCUGAAUUCCCGCUUGAAUUCUCCUGGAAAUUGUAAAUAUUUCCAUUAAAAUAAAAGAGGAAAUAAAAUAAAUGAAAGUGGUUUU